GGAUAUGGAAGGUUUUCUUUUGGCUAGUUGAUUUGAUAAGUGGGUGGGUUUGGUAUUGUAAUCGUGUUGUAAAAUUUUGGAGUUACAAUAUGUGCUUCGCAUUUGGAUGUAUAUUGGAGUUUCUAAAAGUUUUUUGAAGAUGAGUAAAAGUGGUUAGUGUGUCUAUAUUUUUUAUGAGAAGUGCAAUAUUUGGAUUUCACUACAAGAUUUUUAUUUAUUUGAGGAAAUAUUUUGGUGAAGGUUUCUAAAAACCUCCACAAUACAUUUUAUUGAUGGCAAUUUAGAAAACCUCUACUAAUAAUUAAUAAAAAUUAUAUUUUGAAACAAAACCUAAUUUUCUCUUUCUUUUUUCAAAAUGAGAGAUUGAGUUAGCUCAGAGAGAACCUAAGUUUUCUGCGCCAUUUUUUGCCGUUGUUUCCGCUGCCGUUUCUGUCGUCGAUACCAUCACCACUUCCGUGUCCGUUGCGGUAAAGAGCUAAUGGAUCGAGCUACUUCUUCUAUCAACGUGUUUUUAGAUAUGUUCUUCUAUACUGUUGUUUCUGCCACAGUGGAGUUUUCGCCACCGUUGUUGCUGCCGCCGUUUCGGUCACCACUGCCAUUGUUGUUGCUGCCGCUGUUGCCAUGGUAGAACGCUUCUGGAUUGAGCCACCUCCUCUGUCAACGCGUUUUCAGAUUUAUUCGCUCCUAAACUUCUACUUCGAUGCAACUUUCUCUCCCUCUAUAUUUCUCCUUCGAGCUGUUGCUGGGUGAAGUAGAUCAAGUCAGCAUUUUAUACUCUUCCCAAGGUUCUUCAUUAUUUUCUUUACCUGCAAUUGCUGGACAAGAAAUUAAGCCCUUAGCGCAAUUGAUGGAGACUGCUUACAUUGGCAGAUAGGGUUGCUACUGCCAAUCCUAUAGCUGGGUCCCAAGUUUGAUUGGAGGAUCUAGAGGUAGCUUGGAUAGAUGGUGAAAUUUUAGAGGUUAAGGGGCAAGACAUCAAAGUCCUUUGCACUUCAGGUAUAGAUGGUACCUGAAGAAUAGGGAGAAGAAGGUUUUGAAGCCCUAGUAUGGUGACCCACCACAAUCUUCCAGUUUGCAUUUGAUUGUUUGAGAGCGAAAUAGAGAUCCCUGAGGAAAUUGAAAAUGUAUCAUUUUCUAGGCAACACUCCUCUCCAAUCAUAAACAUGUUGUGGAGGUUGAGUGAAGUACUUGUCCACAUAGGGAGUUGUAUCAAGAAAGAAAAACUCAGUUACUUGUGGAGGUACUAAGCUAUGGCAGAGAGAGAAGCAUUAUGUGAUUCUUGAAGCUGUAGCUCAUGACAAACAUUGUACCUUGGUCAACAUCUUAGCAUCCCAUUUUAUCCACUCUUCUGAUCCUUCCUAAGCUUCCUUAUUUCUUGAUUCUGCUAAAUCCAAUUUGGUAAUCUUCCUUUUUUUUUCUAUAAAUUAUGCUUGCUUACUCCAAAUUUUAAUUUUUCAUACAUAAUAAGAGUUCAGUUGUGAGUUGUGACAGGAACAAGCUACCUUGUACAAGAGGCUAGUUUUUGAUGUUGUUAGUUAUUUAAUAUCUAAAGAUAGAGAUGAUGACGUGGCUUAUGAAUUACAUGCUAAAGUGAGUUCACCCUCAUAUAUAGUUUUUCCCUUAAUUCAUUGUUCUUGUUCUAUAUCUAUGCUUAUUUAUCUAUCACAGUUAUAUUCUACUUAAUAACUAAUACUUUUAUUCUCGAAUUUGAAGACUAGUUAUUACUCAUGCUUGAAAAAUUCAAUAUUGAAUUUUGACUUAUUUUACUGGGUAUGCUACAGGCCUACUACAUAUUCCUGCACUAUGAGUGUUUAAUAAAAAUACCAAUACACCAAGUGACGGAAAUUGAAUGAUCUGCUAACGUAAAAUACAUACAUGUAUGUGAAUGUAAUCCACACAAAAUUAUUAUGUUCUGCUAUUUCCUCUUUAUUAAUUAUUCUCUUUCAUUUCUUUAUUUUUAUUUUACAAAUUAAACUCACUCAUGGAUUUAAUUUCUGGUUUUAUUAGGCAUUUGCUUGGGUUUUUUUCAUGCGAUUAUGAAACUUUGGUUGAUGAUUUACUUUUAAGUUGAAACAGAACGCUACCUCUUAGAGAAGCUUCCAGAGUGUGCAGAGAAGGAGCAAAAUGAUUAUCCCAGUCCGUUGCUUCACCUAUGGAAAGGUUAUCAAAAACAAAUGGGAUGCAUAUUUGGACCUUCUUCAGUCAGAUUACUCUGAAGGAUCAGUUUCGCCCUCUUUCUUCAUACUUUCAAUUCCUACUUUUCCUCGGUCUAAUAUAGUUGCCUUAACAUCACGGAUUGCAAAGAUGCGCUGGAUGCUUUGGGGCUGGUUCAUUAUUGUUGUAGGCGUAUGCUUAUGACGCAUGUUGACCUCAUUGAGAAGCUCCUGAAUUACAACAGGCGGAGUUUGCUUUUUGGUGUGUGCAAGUGGACCUCUAGAUUGAGGUUACGUAUCUCCAUGGUUGCCUUUGUGAACCUUGUCAUGUAAUCUUUAAGGCUCUCGUGUGUCCUUGUUUUAUGGUGCUAAGGUAGUCUGAGUCGUGUACGUAAAUCUUUGAGGCAACAAAGUUAUUAACAAAGAGGUAGGUCAGCUAGUCAAAACUUGAUAUAGAACCUGCACCUAAGCCAGGAAACUAGAUCAAGGAAGCAUCAUCUAAAAAGGUAGGGAAUAUACAACAAAUAUCGGAUCGAAUGCACCAUUCACGAACAUCAUUGUAUGAAACUUAGCGAGAUGUAUGUUAGGAUCACCGAUUCCUUUAUAAGGUUUCAACAUUGUUGGCAGGGUGAAGUUUUUGGGCAUCUGAAAGCUCAUGAUGUCUUUUGAAAAUGGAUUAGUUCUCUUCAUCGUUGAUUUCGGAGUGAUCUCAUCAUGGGUUUGGCCUCCGACAUAUGCUCUUCUUCGUCGUCUUUGUUUUCAGAAUUUUUGUGUUCUUUCCUCUUGCUUCGGCUACUGUCUCUGAUUCAACAAGUCGGCCAUUCGUUGGUUCUCUGCUCAUUGAUGGCCAUUAGCUCAGCCUGAAUGGGGAGAGGUGGAGGGUUGCUCUGUUUUUCUGCCAUAGGUUGUGACCUGCAAAAAAGAGGUAAAAAUAUGGUAGGAGAGAACAAUGGUGGGGCUAGUUUAUUACUUAGGCUCCACGGUAGGAGCCAAAUGUUCCUACGUAGUAAGUCUCAUGAGAGGUAUAGCUCGUCCAAUCCAAGGUUGAAUUCACUCCCACCUGGGUCGGAUGAGAUAUAUGGAAAUGUAAUAAGUAAAUUGCAAAAUUUUUUUUUUUGAAAAGCUUCUUAUGAAAGUUUGCCAGCAUAAUAUAUAAAAAUGUAAUAAGAUAUUAGGAUAUGUAGCUCAGAUAGAUACCAUAGUAGUCUUUCAUGGAUUAUUUAAAGUGGUAGAAAAAGUCAAAAUAAUGUACUGAGUUUAGAGUUUUCUUACAUUAGAUUAUUUAGAUAGUGUUCCUGUAUAGUAAGCCUCGGGAGAGGUAUAGCUCGUCCGGUCCAAGGUUGAAUUCACUUUCGCUUGGGUUGGAUGAGAUAUACGUCGGCUUCCUAAGAACAGCGGUGGUGGGUACCUGCAAAAGCACUCUAACGCUCAAGUCAACAAGAGAUCAAGUGAGAUGAGUAUAUUGCAAUUCAGAGUGAAUAGCGUACUUUUUACGUAGCAAGAGUUUUGUAUUUAUAAAGUUAUUGUGUUAUAGGCAGUUAUUAGUAUUUGCGAAGCCGUUGAGGAUGUUAGCCUGAUUUUGUGGUAACUGCUCCUGAGUGAUAUUUGAUUUUAUACAAAAAGGUCUGUUAGGAAAAAAAAACACGUUCUUUUGAUUUGGCAUGUAUUUAUAUAUUUUAUUCAGAUUUCAAUUUAUAGAUAUAAUUAGAUCGGGUUAUAGCUAGCAGAUCAGAUAGUACAAAUCAUUUGUGCAAGUUGACAACACGUGUCUCUACAAAAAAUUUAAAGAAGCUCUUAGUUGAA